rnacentral:rRNA from 1 species
CAGCCGCCGCGGUAAUACGAAGGGGGCUAGCGUUGCUCGGAAUGACUGGGCGUAAAGGGCGCGUAGGCGGAUUGCGCAGUCAGAUGUGAAAUUCCUGGGCUUAACCUGGGGGCUGCAUUUGAGACGCGUAGUCUAGAGUGUGAAAGAGGGUCGUGGAAUUCCCAGUGUAGAGGUGAAAUUCGUAGAUAUUGGGAAGAACACCGGUGGCGAAGGCGGCGACCUGGUUCAUAACUGACGCUGAGGCGCGAAAGCGUGGGGAGCAAACAGGAUUAGAUACCCCCGUAGUCCCUGUCUCUUAUAC